CUCACACUUAAGAGCAAGUUCAAUGAACAGAAAUGUAACAUGUUGUUCUAACAGGGGAAGAGCUGAUCAGCUGCUGCCAUUAUGGCCUCCAGGGUCUCCCCUGCACGCUCAUGAAAUGCCUGAGCCAGAUAAGGAGGAGAAAGACGAGGAUGCAAGAUGACAUGUUCAAGGAGAUCCUGCAAGCCAGUGCUGCAUCGGGUAGUGAGCAUGGGGCUUGCAGGAUGAACACUGCAGAUAUGCUGGAGAAGAAAAGAAUGGAGAGGAGAAAGGUUCAGCAGUCCAGGCAGGAAAAGGAGAGGGAGAUGCACCAGGACAUAACGGGGCUUCUCAGGCAACAAACAGAGAUGCUGCAGGACUCACCUGCUUUGCAGCCCACAGAGAAAACAAUAUCAGGAUCUCCCUAUAGCCCCCCAACCUUCCACAUGGCAUCAGAGUAUUUUUCAGACAUGAACAUCUCCUAAAAUGAAGCCUGCCUUUGAAAUGUUUUUGAAGAUUUUCAACAGCAGGUCAUCAGAGACACUUUCAUCUUGUCCUUCAAACUACCAGUGAAUGAAUGACCCACAGAUUCUCAAAUGAGUAGCAGUUAUGGUGAAAGGCUACUUUGACAUCAACUUUCCACAGGAAAUCGCUCUCUCAUUUGUACUUCUAAGGAUUCCUCGCCUAUACGGAAAUCUCAUCCUCCCUCCAAACAACUCGGUGAUUUCCUUUCUUGAAUUUCGGCCUGAAGGCCAUCUUAUUUGCUCUUCUCUAUGGUUGACUGUAAAUCAUAUUCCAAAAUAAACUAUAAAUCAAAUUAUAUGGGCUCAGUCCAGCACGUCUAUUGCAAUCAAUGAAAGUUCUGGCUGAAUGAGGAGCACAGGACCAAGUCCUAUUUGCACACGUAGGCUUUUGUGCUCAGGUCAGCAUUAAGAUUCACACAACCUAAUAACUGAAUUUAGCUUUACUUUGGUUUUAAAGUAAAUUAUGAAGACACAUACAAUUGGGUCGAUCUGAUUCAAGACAUUUUGAGUAAUCCCCAAAUAUAAAGGCACUCAUCCUUCACUAUAGUCCUGUUACUGGAGCUAUCCCUAAACAGAAGCAGUAGGCCGCCCAUUUCUGUAAUGUCAUUUGCAGAUUUGUCUCACUUGAAACCGGUGCUUCCAAGAGGGACGCUGCCAUGCGGAUUGCCAAUGGGAAGACAUGGUGAUGUCAGUCUCCCAAAUACCACUUUGACAGGCAGAACUCUGGGAAUCACUUCAUUGUGGACACAGCAUUACAAAAAUAAAUAGUAAUGAAUGGCAUCCCUGAGUACCUCCUGCAUCUGUGGAUUUUUGGGCUUUGUGGGGCUACUCAUACAUAUUGUGGUCUAGAAAUCCGGGCAUCUCAGACCUAACCCAUAGCUACUGCCAUCCUCCUGAUGUUAUGGGCCAAAUUCUGACCCUGUAUGUGCACAGAGUUGAAUGGAAUCAAUGGAAGCCCUAUGUGCAUCCCCAAAGGCAGAAUUUGGGGCUACAUAUGCUUGUGGACUUCUAAAGAUCCCAUGAAAAUUACCAGAGAGACCUGGUAAUUUCACCAAAAAUGUUAUUAAUUGAUUUAAUGUGGCUGGGAGUACACAGCAUUUCCCAUUACCCUUCUGAGGCUCCCAAUUCAACCGUCCAUCCAUGUUCAGCAAAGCACUUUCAGCACAGGCUUCACUUUAAACACAUUCUUAAGUCAAUGGAACUUAAAAACUUGUGUUCAAACACUUUGCUGAAUAGGGAUGGAUUGAAGCAUGUAUUUAAAUGCUUUGCAAGAUUGGGAGCUUACAUUCUAAAGCACGGGAUACUGACUAACUGCCCCCAAUAUACCAGUCAACACACUGGAGGCAGCACCGAGGGUUGAAGUAAUCCACACCACAACUGCCUCUCUAGAGCAUAGGGGAAGCAGGGACCAGACUGUGAUGCUUAGUGUUCCUGCCCUACUCCCGGAGCAGAGCAGCUAUGCAGUACGUACCCCUUCCUCAGGCUGGAUUAUAAGAGACCAGUCCAUAGUACUCAUUAGGGAUCCUAACACUGAGCACAUAUAUCAAGUCCCGACUGAGAAACAUACCAAAUCUAAGGGCACGUGUACACUGCCCUGCAGGUCAACACUACAGGGGUGUGAAUAGCAACGUGCCUCAAAGUGUUGUACUGUAACUCUCCUACAGUACUGGACACUGCAGGCAUUGAACUAAAAGGUUCCUAGUUUGCAUUCACGUACAUACAGAGGAAUUACAGCACAGAACUUUGGUAGGCAGCGCUAUUUAACCCCCCUUAGUCCAAACUGUGGGGCAGUGUAGACAUUCCCUAAGUGUCAAGUUUUAGAUUAUAUAAUUUACUAGGUUUGCUGUGUUUUGAAAUGCGUACAUAUAUAAUAGGUAUGAAUGAAUUUGUAAUUAGAACCCUUUUAAAAUUA